GAGUAAGUGAGGUGUAGUGGUUUGAGCAUUGAACUACAACUCUGGAGACUGGGGUUCAAAUCCCCACUUGACCA